rnacentral:rRNA from 1 species
AUUGAACGCUGGCGGCAGGCCUAACACAUGCAAGUCGAACGAGUGGCGGACGGGUGAGUAAUGUCUGGGAAACUGCCUGAUGGAGGGGGAUAACUACUGGAAACGGUAGCUAAUACCGCAUACCAUCGGAUGUGCCCAUAUGGGAUUAGCUAGUAGGUGGGGUAAAGGCUCACCUAGGCGACGAUCCCUAGCUGGGCUGAGAGGAGGACAAGCUACACUGGAACUGAACCACGGUCCAGACUCCUACGGGAGGCAGCAGUGCGGAAUAUUGCACAAUGGGCGCAAGCCUAAUGCAGCCAUGCCGCGUGGAUGAAGAAGGCCUUCGGUUUUUAAAGUACUUUCAGCGGUGAGGCGUUACUCGCAGAAGAAGCACCGGCUAACUCCGUGCCAGCAGCCGCGGUAAUUC